rnacentral:rRNA from 1 species
UACGUAGGGACCAAGCGUUGUUCGGAUUUACUGGGCGUAAAGGGUGUGUAGGUGGCGCGCUAAGUCGGGUGUGAAAUUUCGGAGCUUAACUCCGAAACUGCAUUCGAUACUGGCGUGCUUGAGGACUGGAGAGGAGACUGGAAUUUACGGUGUAGCAGUGAAAUGCGUAGAUAUCGUAAGGAAGACCAGUGGCGAAGGCGGGUCUCUGGACAGUUCCUGACACUGAGACACGAAGGCCAGGGGAGCAAACGGG